rnacentral:rRNA from 1 species
UACGUAGGGACCAAGCGUUGUUCGGAUUUACUGGGCGUAAAGGGCGCGUAGGCGGCGAGACAAGUCACUUGUGAAAUCUCUGAGCUUAACUCAGAACGGCCAAGUGAAACUGUCGUGCUAGAGUGCAGAAGGGGCAAUCGGAAUUCUUGGUGUAGCGGUGAAAUGCGUAGAUAUCAAGAGGAACACCUGAGGUGAAGACGGGUUGCUGGGCUGACACUGACGCUGAGGCGCGAAAGCCAGGGGAGCAAACGGG